UCCGGUUUGGCACCGGCAGUCUCCCUAGAGUUCCCGGCAUGAUCCGCUGGCAACUAAGGACAGGGGUUGCGCUCGUUGCGCCACUUAAGGCAACACCUCACGGCACGAGCUGACGACAGCCAUGCAGCACCUGUGUUCCGGUUCCCUUUCGGGCACCCCCGCCUUUCAGCGGGCUUCCGGACAUGUCAAGGGUAGGUAAGGUUGUUCGCGUUGCAUCGAAUUAAUCCACAUCAUCCACCGCUUGUGCGGGUCCCCGUCAAUUCCUUUGAGUUUUAAUCUUGCGACCGUACUCCCCAGGCGGAUGACCUCACGCGUUAGCUGCGUUACUAAAGGAUUUAACUCCUCCAACAACUAGUCAUCAUCGUUUAGGGCGUGGACUAC
rnacentral:misc_RNA from 1 species